rnacentral:rRNA from 1 species
UUCCGGUUGAUCCCGCCGGAGGCCAUUGCUAUCGGAAUCCGAUUUAGCCAUGCUAGUCGCACGGGUUAGACCCGUGGCGAACAGCUCAGUAACACGUGGCCAAACUACCCUGUGGACGGGGAUAAUCUCGGGAAACUGAGGCUAAUCCCCGAUAGGGCUUCCAUCCUGGAGUGGGGGAAGUCCGAAAGGUUGCGCUGCGGCACCACAGGAUGUGGCUGCGGCCGAUUAGGUAGACGGUGGGGUAACGGCCCACCGUGCCAGUAAUCGGUACGGGUGAUGAGAGUCAGAGCCCGGAGACGGUAUCUGAGACAAGAUACCGGGCCCUACGGGGCGCAGCAGGCGCGAAACCUUUACACUGCACGACAGUGCGAUAGGGGGAUUCCGAGUGCGAGGGCAUACAGUCCCCGCUUUUCUGGAUCGUAAGGAGAUGCAAGAAUAAGGGCUGGGCAAGACCGGUGCCAGCCGCCGCGGUAAUACCGGCAGCCCAAGUGAUGGCCGAUCUUAUUGGGCCUAAAGCGUCCGUAGCUGGCCGCGCAAGUCCAUCGGGAAAUCCACCUGCUCAACAGGUGGGCGCCCGGUAGAAACUGCGUGGCUUGGGACCGGAAGGCGCGACGGGUACGUCCGGGGUAGGAGUGAAAUCCCGUAAUCCUGGACGGACCGCCGAUGGCGAAAGCACGUCGCGAGAACGGAUCCGACAGUGAGGGACGAAAGCCAGGGUCUCGAACCGGAUUAGAUACCCGGGUAGUC